GAAAGAAAAGUCACAAGUACUUUUGAAAUUUGGAGAAAAGAAAUCAUAUUCAUAAACAUAAGAAAAUUGAAUUUAAGUGGCGUUAUUACUUCUAAUCCAUUUGAGAUCUUGGGAGGUGCAAAAAUUUUUUACAAAAAUUUGUAUAUGUCUAAGUGCGUUGAUUUAAAUGUUGAGGAUAGUAGAGGCUUCUUCGAAAAUGAGAAUAUUCCAAAAUUGUCUGAAGAAUUUAAAGAAAUAUGCCAAGGAACGGUAAGAAUUGAUGAAAUUACAGAAAUAUUAAAGUCGUUUAAGACAAUAAGGUUCCUGAUAUCUAUGGGCUUCCAACUGAAUUUUACACAGCUUUUCGGCACCUACUUGCAGAAACUCUUGUUGAUUCAUUGAAUGCAGCGUUUGAUUCAGGACGCCUGUCCAUUUCGCAGAGGCAAGCCAUUAUAACUCUUAUUGAUUAAAAAGAUAGGACAGGACGCUGUUGGGCAAUUGGAGGCCGAUUUCGUUGUUGAAUAUGGA